rnacentral:rRNA from 1 species
AAGCCUACGGGAGGCAGCAGUAGGGAAUCUUCCACAAUGGGCGCAAGCCUGAUGGAGCAACACCGCGUGAGUGAAGAAGGGUUUCGGCUCGUAAAGCUCUGUUGUUGGAGAAGAACGUGCGUGUGAGUAACUGUUCACGCCGCGGCGGUAUCCCACCCGAAAGUCACGGCUAACUACGUGCCAGCAGCCGCGGUAAUACGUAGGUGGCAAGCGUUAUCCGGAGUUAUUGGGCGUAA